GUGGGGUUGUUCAGUCUAGGAUUGCCCUUUGCUCUUAGAAAAGCCUUAAGGUGGGGGUAGUUGAGUCCCUACAGAAGAGUCACUCUGACUGUUUUAAGGGCUUGUCAGUAGGUAAGGAAAUUUAAUAAUUUUUCUUCUGCCUCUGUUUCCCACAUCAGAACCACCCAGGUGCCCCGAU